rnacentral:lncRNA from 1 species
UUUUGGCGUGAAACAAAGAGUACACACUAUUCCUUUUUAGAGAGUUCAAAAAAAUAUAGCAUUGAAUGUCAAAGAUCAGAUUUUUGGAUUGAUUGGAACGGCUAUAAAACGGUUGGAUUUUUGAAUUUUGACCGUGGAUAGUCGGAUAUCUUAUGUGAUAGUCGAAUAUCUGGGAGCCAUAUUCAAAUAUUUUAUGUAAUAUUUGAAU